rnacentral:lncRNA from 1 species
GGAAGAAGAUGAGAAUGUGUAGGUUCAGUUAGCACUGUCCAGUACAUGCACUUAAGGUCGGAAAGAACAAAGUAAACAUCUGGCUGUGGUGAACUCAUGCUCAGGAGCAAUGACUUGAAAUUUACUCACACUGUUGAAUAUCAGUGGAACUUUGUGCUACACUCUACAGGUAUGAAGUACUGGGCCUGAGACUUGUGGGGCAACAAAUGGGUUUUGCUGGUUCUGCAGAGAAGAUAAUCCUACUGGGGUUCCCUUCUGCCUUAUUGGUAGCAUCCCCAGAAAUUGUCAGCCAGAGACAGUGCUGUGAAGUGAAACCCCUCAACCUUCCCAGCUGGCUCACUCUGUUUACCUGUGACCACACCAAGUGGCAGGCAAGGUGCCCAAAUGAACCCUGAAUGCGUUAUGUCAUACACUCUGAGGAGUACAGAUACAUGUAUACUGGGAGUAGGAGAAAGAAGCUAGAGGAAGAGAGGGGAAAAACCCUAAAUGAGAGACUGACUAGCAACAUGGCACCUGAGCUUUAACUGUGAGUAAUGGAAACAGGCAGCUUCCUGAAUGGAAAUUUCAUACCAAGA